AAGAAACCAAUCUAAACUAAAUUGUAGCUUUUAAUCGUCUUAAAUUGUAGGAUGAUAAAAUCUACGUUUACCCAUCACUCAAUGUACAAGAUAUACAACUGAACAGCAACAAGCUUUCUACGUUAAAAAUUUCUUCAGGAAAAAUAAAUUCAGUUCAAACACUAUCAUAAUUGCAGUUUUUUUAAUCAUUGAAACAUAAUAAACGAUUUUAUUAUUUAGAAAAAAACACCAAAAAAUUAGACCUAAAAACCAUUUGCAAAUUGCAUGUUUGAAUAAAAGACCUUGUACGUUCUUAAAAAUGCUUGCAAGUUUGCUUAAACACCAUAUGUAAGCAUGUCAACUAGAAAGCGACAUAAGUAAAUUAAAACCAAUCCAAUCUCUACCUUUUUUUUCUUCUGACCUCGUUAGGAUUUUUCCUUCCAGCUCCUAUCUGAACGUACAUUCGAUCUUUGGUAACACCGGUAAGCAGAGAGGGAAGAUAAUCCUCAUCCAUAAGAUCGAUUUCCUUCUUUCGCUGCAUGCGGCGUACAGCACGUUGAUAUUCAGGCUGAUCUUCACGUAAAACAGGAUUUUUCUUUCCUUUACCAUUUGAAGUACCAUGAACUGGCUUAGGAAGGGAAUAUUUUGUGCCUCGGGUUUUCCACUCGAAAUUCUUCUUCAAGUGCACUUGAAAUUCACCUUUAGAGUUGAUACUGCACGUGGUUUUAAUUAACGUGUUACCACCGCAGGAAGGACAGAAUUUUUUCUCCAUGUCUUUCACUACUGUAUAGCAUCCGUGGCAACGGAGAACGAAUCUCUUAACAUUUUGAAUUUUGAAACCAUCUGAAGAAACUAGAUUUAGCCCAAUUUGCAAUAAGACAUUUUGCAUCGAAAAAUCAGUAGUAGCGCAGGCGACUUUGAGAUGUUUGGGUUGAACAAGGCUUUCACCGACGCCAUCCUCAGCUUUCUUUUUGCGAAUAUUUGAAGGAGUAAUCCAUCCAUCAUCUUCAUCAUCUUCCUCAUUGUCUUCUUGCUCUUUAUUUUCUUCAGUAUUCGGAUGUGCUUCUUUAUUAUUGGAAUGUUGUGUCGUUUCACCUUCCAAGACUUCGUUCUCUGCGGAUUUAGGAUCACUGUUCUCAGUUUCUUUUACAGAAGCUGUAUCGCUUGAUGUGGGUUUAGAUGCAUCUUCAGUAGAAUUUGAAUUACUAGGGGGUUUUCCAUUGAUAUGCUUUUGACCAGGAUACUUGCGAAGUCUCCAGUCACCACCAUUAAACUCGACUUCUAACUCAUAAGUCAAAGCCAAAAUUUGAAUAUCGGUUACAGAGAGUGAGGAGUAAUCACCGGUUUGCUUUGCAAAUUCGGAAACUAUAGUUUGUUAGAAAGCUGCUACCAAGAAUCAAAGUAUUUAUGAUGGAAGUAGUUGAAAAGAAUAGCAGGUGUAAGAAAGCGAUCAAAUUCCAAUAUGAUUAAGCUUUUUCACCCACCUUGCUUUCACUUCUCAGAGAUGACUGUGCACAGAAUAAAAUCUAGCUGGUUGCUUUCUUCAACCACUAUACAACUUUCUUUUUAAUAAAACAUACCUUUUUUUAUAAAUUCUGGUUUUGGAACUCUUUGAAUUACUUGAUCGCCCCAAAGUUCAAAAUUUUUCCUCGAUGUUUCGUCUCGAAUUUCUGCAAUCACUCGAGGAAUGGUAUAAAAGCUUUCCGCAGAAUUUCUUAAUAAAGUACUAGAGCAGAUAAUCCCACCUGUAUCGAGGACGAGAUGAGUAAUGCUUUUACUCAUUUUGGCACUAGUUUACUCAAACUGAUGUUUUUCAUAGUACUUACUGCACAUGUUUGAUAUAUACGCUAUGUUGCAGUAAACAAUUUAAGGUAAAUAAAUCACGAACUAAAGCAAUGAAAAUAUUAUAAGAAUUGAGAGUUACAAUAGUCAGAAAAUUUAAUAUGAAUUCCAAUGCAGGAGUUUAAAGUGCUUUUAUUAGAAAACCGGUAUGUAAGUUGAACAUAGUGGACUUGAAAUUUUAAGAUAUCUUCCACCUGAUGCUUAAAGUUAACAAUGAAAAAUUUCUAUCCAUGAAUGUUUUUACUCAAUCAAGUGACUACCAAUGUUUUAGAGUUAAAAAUAUCUGGUGAGCUUGAUAGUAACUGAUCAUGAUCUGGCCAUUGCUUACAAAUGCUUCAAAGAGGCCGUUCGGUUCAACUAUUGAGGCUUUAACUAUUCUUUUAAUUGUUGCGUCUAUUAGUUAGUUUCAACCCUCAUUUUUUUGGUAUACUAUAACAAGUAGCUCGAGAAAAUUAUUGAAAGAGCACAAUGUAUUGUUUGCGGAUAUUUAAAAAGGAAAUGAAAGUAAAGUACUUUGGUUGGUGUUUUCUCUUGUACAUUAUAUAUUCCCAAAACACCGAUUCAAAUCAAUCGGAACAAAUUUAUAUGGCACAAAAAAUUGCAAUUUAGUGCAAUAGCUCAUCGAGUAAUAGAUCGAUGACAUAGCUGAACUUUCAUAAUUAUUUUACAGUUCUUCGGGGAAAGGGUAAAAUUUAGUCAUUUCAUCUGAAUAAGUUUUCAAUUUCAUG